rnacentral:rRNA from 1 species
CCUACGGGAGGCAGCAGUGAGGAAUAUUGGACAAUGGGCGCAAGCCUGAUCCAGCCAUGCCGCGUGCAGGAUGACGGUCCUAUGGAUUGUAAACUGCUUUUAUACGAGAAGAAACACUCCUUCGUGAAGGAAUUUGACGGUAUCGUAAGAAUAAGGAUCGGCUAACUCCGUGCCAGCAGCCGCGGUAAU